rnacentral:rRNA from 1 species
UGGGGAAUUUUGGACAAUGGGCGAAAGCCUGAUCCAGCAAUGCCGCGUGUGUGAAGAAGGCCUUCGGGUUGUAAAGCACUUUUGUCCGGAAAGAAAUCCUUGGCUCUAAUACAGUCGGGGGAUGACGGUACCGGAAGAAUAAGCACCGGCUAACUACGUGCCAGCAGCCGCGGUAAUACGUAGGGUGCAAGCGUUAAUCGGAAUUACUGGGCGUAAAGCGUGCGCAGGCGGUUUGCUAAGACCGAUGUGAAAUCCCCGGGCUCAACCUGGGAACUGCAUUGGUGACUGGCAGGCUAGAGUAUGGCAGAGGGGGGUAGAAUUCCACGUGUAGCAGUGAAAUGCGUAGAGAUGUGGAGGAAUACCGAUGGCGAAGGCAGCCCCCUGGGCCAAUACUGACGCUCAUGCACGAAAGCGUGGGGAGCAAAACAGGAUUAGAUACCCUGGUAGUCCACGCCCCUAAACGAUGUCAACUAGUUGUUGGGGGAUUCAUUUCCUUAGUAACGUAGCUAACGCGUGAAGUUGACCGCCUGGGGAGUACGGUCGCAAGAUUAAAACUCAAAGAAUUGACGGGGUCAUAGCUGUUUCCU